rnacentral:lncRNA from 1 species
UCAAGAUGGAGAACCCUUAGCUCCUUCUCUAGCACCAUGACUGCCUGUGUGCUACCAUACUUUCCACCAUGAUGAUAAUGGAAGCCAGCACAAAAUAAAUGUUUUCUUUUAUAGGAGUGUUGUAGUCAUGCUUUCUCUUCACAGCAAUAGAAACCCAAACUACAACACAUAGUAAACACUUUUUUGAUGGAACUACUUCCCCAGACUUAUGCCUUUUUUAAAUGUUGUACAUGGAAAAUUCAUAUAUAACUCAUCCAUUAAACAGUCAAGAACUGGCCUACACCAAGAUUAUAGCAAUGUCUUAGUUUUCUUCUAUUGUAACUUGGGGAAGAAAAGGGUAUAAUUCAGCUUAUGGUUAACCACUGAAGGAGACCAAAACAUGAACUCAAAACAGGACAUAGAGGCAGGAACUGAAGUAAAGACCAUCAAGAAACACUGCCUACGGAGCUUGCUUUUCAUGGCUUUCUCAGUCUGUCUUAUACAACUCAAGACCACCUGCCCAAGGGCAGCACCAGUUGUACGGAAGAGGGUGGACCAAGGGCUGAAAAGGGCCACCCUAUGGAACACCCAAGAGGCAUAGGAUUGUCUUUGCUAGGAGUGGUGAGGAAGAAGGCCACUAGUUUUGAAUAGAGAUGAAGGUGGUGCUAGGUUAUGUCUGAACUCUGUAUACACUUCCACAUCAGUGCGAAUGCUCCUGGGUUCAGUGAAGACAACAACUAAGCUUAGGGGACAGGGAUACAGAUAGAUAGUGAGGCAACUUUGGUCCCAGAGAAACAGGGCUGACCCUGGGGGAUCUGUGGUACAGGUGAGCCUCCAAACUACAUAGAAUGCCCUUGUAGAGGAAGUGAGGAAGCCCUCUCUGCCCUCAGUGUUAGACUCACACAGAGAGUCCGUCUGGAACCUUCCAGUGGUUCUGGCUGUCCCUAGCAGGAGACACUCCCAUUGUCCUGCAAUGCAUCUUUGGGCUUUUUAAUACUGUGGACUCCA